rnacentral:rRNA from 1 species
UAGUAUCAGCGUGUCAGCAGCCGCGGUAAUACGGAGGGUGCGAGCGUUGUCCGGAUUUAUUGGGUUUAAAGGGUGCGUAAGGUGGCUGUUUAAGUCAGUGGUGAAAUACGGUUGCUCAACAAUCGAGGUGCCAUUGAUACUGAAUAGCUUGAAAUAAUUUGGAGGCUGCCGGAAUGGAUGGUGUAGCGGUGAAAUGCAUAGAUAUCAUCCAGAACACCGAUUGCGAAGGCAGGUGGCUACGAUUUAUUUGACACUGAGGCACGAAAGCAUGGGGAGCAAACAGGGAUUAGAUACCCUGGUAGUCCAUGCCGUAAAC